rnacentral:lncRNA from 1 species
CCUGCACAUGCCCCUCCCCACCUCCUCCACAUGCCUUGGCCCAGGGCAGGCCUGCCUGCAGGCAGGCUCCGUUGGUGAUGUGGAGCACAUCCUUUCCUUUGGCUCCUCCUGCACAUCCUCUCCCUGGUCCUGGAGUCAGGCUAGAUCAGGCAGGUGCCCUGCUGCGGGGCCUGUUCACUGCCGGCCUCCACCUUCCUGGCAGGA